ACUAAAUAGAUACCCAGGUAGUCCACGCUGUAAACGAUGAUUACUCGAUGUUGGCGAUACACAGUCAGCGUCUGAGCGAAAGCAAUAAGUAAUCCACCUGGGGAGUACGAUCGCAAGAUUGAAACUCAAAGGAAUUGACGGGGGCCCGCACAAGCGGAGGAGCAUGUGGUUUAAUUCGAUGAUACGCGAGGAACCUUACCUGGGCCCGAACGUAAGAUGACUGUAGGUGAAAGCUUACAUCUCUUCGGAGCAUUUUACGAGGUGCUGCAUGGUUGUCGUCAGCUCGUGCCGUGAGGUGUCGGGUUAAGUCCCAUAACGAGCGCAACCCCUACCUUUAGUUGCCAACAGGUCAUGCUGGGGACUCUAAAGGAACUGCCUACGCAAGUAGUGAGGAAGGCGGGGAUGACGUCAAAUCAGCACGGCCCUUACGUCCAGGGCUACACACGUGCUACAAUGGCCGAUACAGAGGGCAGCUACCUGGUGACAGGAUGCAAAUCUCCAAAGUCGGUCUCAGUUCGGAUC
rnacentral:rRNA from 1 species